rnacentral:rRNA from 1 species
AUUGAACGCUGGCGGCAGGCUUAACACAUGCAAGUCGAGCGGGGUGAUGGUGCUUGCACUAUCACUUAGCGGCGGACGGGUGAGUAAUGCUUAGGAAUCUGCCUAUUAGUGGGGGACAACAUCUCGAAAGGGAUGCUAAUACCGCAUACGUCCUACGGGAGAAAGCAGGGGAUCACUUGUGACCUUGCGCUAAUAGAUGAGCCUAAGUCGGAUUAGCUAGUUGGUGGGGUAAAGGCCUGCCAAGGCGACGAUCUGUAGCAGGUCUGAGAGGAUGAUCCGCCACACUGGGACUGAGACACGGCCCAAACUCCUACGGGAGGCAGCAGUGGGGAAUAUUGGACAAUGGGGGGAACCCUGAUCCAGCCAUGCCGCGUGUGUGAAGAAGGCCUUAUGGUUGUAAAGCACUUUAAGCGAGGAGGAGGCUCUUUUGGUUAAUACCCAAGAUGAGUGGACGUUACUCGCAGAAUAAGCACCGGCUAACUCUGUGCCAGCAGCCGCAGUAA